rnacentral:rRNA from 1 species
AGUGAACGCUGGCGGUAGGCCUAACACAUGCAAGUCGAACGGCAGCACAGUAAGAGCUUGCUCUUACGGGUGGCGAGUGGCGGACGGGUGAGGAAUACAUCGGAAUCUACUUUUUCGUGGGGGAUAACGUAGGGAAACUUACGCUAAUACCGCAUACGACCUACGGGUGAAAGCAGGGGAGCUUCGGACCUUGCGCGAUUGAAUGAGCCGAUGUCGGAUUGGCUUGUUGGCGGGGUAAAGGCCCACCAAGGCGACGAUCCGUAGCUGGUCUGAGAGGAUGAUCAGCCAGACUUGAACUUAGACACGGUCCAAACUCCUACGGGAGGCAGCAAUUGGGAAAAUUUGACCAUUGGCGCAAGCCUCGUCCAGUCGUGCCGCGUUGGUGCAGAAAGCCUUUCGGUUGUAAAGCCCUUUUGUUGGGAAAGAAAAGCAGCAGGUUAAUACCCCGCUGUUCUGACGGUACCCAAAGAAUAAGCACCGGCUAACUUCGUG